GGGAUCAGUGGCGAACGGGUGAGUAACACGUGAGCAACCUGCCCUUGGCUCUGGGACAACCACUGGAAACGGUGGCUAAUACCGGAUACGACCCAUGCAGGCAUCUGUUGUGGGUGGAAAGAUUUUUCGGCUGGGGAUGGGCUCGCGGCCUAUCAGCUUGUUGGUGGGGUAAUGGCCUACCAAGGCGACGACGGGUAGCCGGCCUGAGAGGGCGACCGGCCACACUGGGACUGAGACACGGCCCAGACUCCUACGGGAGGCAGCAGUGGGGAAUAUUGCACAAUGGGCGAAAGCCUGAUGCAGCGACGCCGCGUGAGGGAUGACGGCCUUCGGGUUGUAAACCUCUUUCAGCAGGGAAGAAGCGAAAGUGACGGUACCUGCAGAAGAAGCACCGGCUAACUACGUGCCAGCAGCCGCGGUAAUACGUAGGGUGCAAGCGUUGUCCGGAAUUAUUGGGCGUAAAGAGCUCGUAGGCGGUGUGUCGCGUCUGCUGUGAAAACUCAGGGCUCAACUCUGAGCUUGCAGUGGGUACGGGCACACUUGAGUGCGGUAGGGGAGACUGGAAUUCCUGGUGUAGCGGUGAAAUGCGCAGAUAUCAGGAGGAACACCGGUGGCGAAGGCGGGUCUCUGGGCCGUAACUGACGCUGAGGAGCGAAAGCAUGGGGAGCGAACAGGAUUAGAUACCCUGGUAGUCCAUGCCGUAAACGUUGGGCGCUAGGUGUGGGGUCCAUUCCACGGAUUCCGUGCCGCAGCUAACGCAUUAAGCGCCCCGCCUGGGGAGUACGGCCGCAAGGCUAAAACUCAAAGGAAUUGACGGGGGCCCGCACAAGCGGCGGAGCAUGCGGAUUAAUUCGAUGCAACGCGAAGAACCUUACCAAGGCUUGACAUGCGCGGUGGAAUCCCAGAGAUGGGGUGUCAUUUAGUUGGUCGCGUACAGGUGGUGCAUGGUUGUCGUCAGCUCGUGUCGUGAGAUGUUGGGUUAAGUCCCGCAACGAGCGCAACCCUCGUUCUAUGUUGCCAGCACGUGAUGGUGGGGACUCAUAGGAGACUGCCGGGGUCAACUCGGAGGAAGGUGGGGAUGACGUCAAAUCAUCAUGCCCCUUAUGUCUUGGGCUUCACGCAUGCUACAAUGGCCAGUACAGAGGGCUGCGAUACCGUGAGGUGGAGCGAAUCCCAAAAAGCUGGUCUCAGUUCGGAUCGGGGUCUGCAACUCGACCCCGUGAAGUCGGAGUCGCUAGUAAUCGCAGAUCAGCAACGCUGCGGUGAAUACGUUCCCGGGCCUUGUACCCUUUAGACUUCGAGUCAGGAUAGGCGGGGACCACCUCCUUAGAGUUUGAUCCGGCUCAGGCGGAACACCUCCUUAGAGUUGAUCCG
rnacentral:rRNA from 1 species